rnacentral:rRNA from 1 species
AGAGUUUGAUCAUGGCUCAGAUUGAACGCUGGCGGCAGGCUUAACACAUGCAAGUCGAGCGGGGAAAGGUAGCUUGCUACUUAACCUAGCGGCGGACGGGUGAGUAAUGCUUAGGAAUCUGCCUAUUAGUGGGGGACAACAUCUCGAAAGGGAUGCUAAUACCGCAUACGUCCUACGGGAGAAAGCAGGGGAUCUUCGGACCUUGCGCUAAUAGAUGAGCCUAAGUCGGAUUAGCUAGUUGGUGGGGUAAAGGCCUACC